AGGCUUUAUAGUCAUUAAAUGAUUUUAAAUUGCAAAUUUAAAGGUAAAUAAAAUUUUAAGGCUUA
rnacentral:tRNA from 1 species